rnacentral:tRNA from 1 species
GGGUCGGUAGCUCAGCUGGUAGAGCAGUGCCCUUUUAAGGCAAUGGUCCCGGGUUCGAUCCCCGGCCGACCCA